rnacentral:lncRNA from 1 species
GGGGAUUUCCCCAACUCCUUCAUAAAUAUAAAAGUGUGUUCUUGAUCAGAUUCCCUUAAUCUACCCCUUUCUUAGUCUCUAAUCUCUUAAUCUCUCUAAGUCUCUUUGUUUCUGAUUCAAGUUCAUACUAGUUUCAUCAGACCUCUUAUUCAACUAGUUCAAGACCUUAUUCUCUGCCUCUAAUGGCUUCUCAUACACAUACACAGCCAGAGCUCUCAAAUCUCAUAC